UACGGGGGGAGCAAGCGUUGUUCGGAUUCAUUGGGCGUAAAGGGCGCGUAGGCGGCUUGGCAAGUCCGACGUGAAAUGUACCGGUUCAACCGGGGCACCGUGUCGGAAACUGCCUGGCUUGAGGCCGAGGGAGGAUGGUGGAAUUCCUGGUGUAGCGGUGAAAUGCGUAGAUAUCAGGAGGAACACCAAUGGCGAAGGCAGCUCUCUGGUACAUGAUUGACGCUGAGACGCGAAAGCGUGGGGAGCGAACAGG
rnacentral:rRNA from 1 species